rnacentral:lncRNA from 1 species
CCAGAGACAAGUGGAAACAUUGGCUAUAUUACCAAGGCUUUGACUGGAAUGUCAUUUUCAAGAGAGGUAUACAUAGACUCAGUCUCCUUGGAAGGGAUUAUACCACUCCUUAAUACCCAGAUGGCAGCCAAACUUCAGGGACUCGAACCUUGGGUACACAUCUCACAGCUAAAGAAGUCUCCACCUGACAUCUGGUCCUGUACAAAUGCUGGAGCUCUCCAAAUCAAAUUGACCAGGAAGAGAAGCAGCUGACAUCUCAGGCAGCUUUUCUAAGAUGACUGGACCGGUCCUAUAUACCCUUUUCUCACUGUUAUUUAUUCUCUCUUUCUGCUUUGUGGAAAGACAAUGCCCUUGUCCACAUUUCGCAAAACUUUGCAAAAGAGGAAAACCUCUUUUGAUUAUGGCCUUUUAUAAACAGCCUCAUCAUUAUCCUUCAUGACAAAUUAAUCUUUUCACUUGCUUUUUCUGAAGAUUUGGAAAGUUCAGAAUUCACAGAACUCUUUCUUUCAUCUGGACUAUUAAUUGACUCUGGAUUCUUAUCCAAAUUCAUGGUCUCUGAAUUUGCAAACUUACAGGCUGCAUUAUUGGAUAAAACCUUUGGUUCCAAACAAUUCUUUUGAGAUAACAACACUGUUUUAAUACAUCUUUGAAGUUUUGUUAUUUUUGCAAAGUUCGUCAGCUAUUGCUUCUUGUUUAUUCCUACACUGUGUCUUCCAAAUGCCCUCAGUGAAUUCUUUCACCUUGAAUGUACUCUUGCUGUAUUCACUAUUCUAAAAUAUAAACUUUAUAUGGGAAAAUGCCUGAGAAUUCUCCCUCCUACCCCUCCCUUGUUACUUGAAUGUUUCCAAUCUGUGCAAUUUCCCUCUGACAGGGGAUAUCACAUCCAGAAAAGAUCUUUCCUGGCAACAAGGGACAAAGGCCCCUGAAUUCAGAAAACCUAACUCUUGAUCAGUGAUGCUUUUGGAGAAAGCUCUUGAUCAAAAGGGAGAAAUAUGAAACUGAAUAAAACAAACCUCAUUUAAAAUGGAGUCAUGUGGCCAGAAGGGAAAGCUCUCAUGCACUGCCACUCAACAUCAAUUACAAGAAGAAUCAAGAAUUACAGACUCCAACAGGAAGAGAUGCAUGUUGCAUCCCCAACAAGAAAUCGACUACUCCAGCAGCUCAGCCAAUGAGAAACCCUGAACUCUCAUUUUCCAUCAAUGGACUUUUGUUCAAAACAGCAUCUCCCAAUUUUCUCCUUUUUCUCUAUAAAAUAACAUUCCUCUACUUUGCUUACAGGACUUACCUAUGGCUAUUGCUAUAGCUUGCUUAGCCUGAAUUGAAAUGCCUCUGCUAUUC